AUUGGACGCUGGCGGCAGGCCUAACACAUGCAAGUCGAGCGGAUGAAGGGAGCUUGCUCCUGGAUUCAGCGGCGGACGGGUGAGUGAUGCCUAGGAAUCUGCCUGGUAGUGGGGGAUAACGUCCGGAAACGGGCGCUAAUACCGCAUACGUCCUGAGGGAGAAAGUGGGGGAUCUUCGGACCUCACGCUAUCAGAUGAGCCUAGGUCGGAUUAGCUAGUUGGUGGGGUAAAGGCCUACCAAGGCGACGAUCCGUAACUGGUCUGAGAGGAUGAUCAGUCACACUGGAACUGAGACACGGUCCAGACUCCUACGGGAGGCAGCAGUGGGGAAUAUUGGACAAUGGGCGAAAGCCUGAUCCAGCCAUGCCGCGUGUGUGAAGAAGGUCUUCGGAUUGUAAAGCACUUUAAGUUGGGAGGAAGGGCAGUAAGUUAAUACCUUGCUGUUUUGACGUUACCAACAGAAUAAGCACCGGCUAACUUCGUG
rnacentral:rRNA from 1 species